rnacentral:rRNA from 1 species
AGGGUUUGAUUCUGGCUCAGGAUGAACGCUAGCGGCAGGCUUAACACAUGCAAGUCGAGGGGCAGCGGGGUGUAGCAAUACACUGCCGGCGACCGGCGCACGGGUGCGUAACGCGUAUGCAACCUACCCAUAACAGGGGCAUAACACUGAGAAAUUGGUACUAAUACCCCAUAAUAUCAUAGAAGGCAUCUUUUAUGGUUGAAAAUUCCGAUGGUUAGAGAUGGGCAUGCGUUGUAUUAGCUAGUUGGUGGGGUAACGGCUCACCAAGGCGACGAUACAUAGGGGGACUGAGAGGUUAACCCCCCACACUGGUACUGGGACACGGACCAG